UAUGUGAUCGUCUCUCGCAUAUCAAUAAGCGGAGGAAAAGAAACUAACAAGGAUUCCCCUAGUAACGGCGAGUGAAGCGGGAAGAGCUCAAAUUUGAAAUCUUAAAGGGUUUCCCUUUACGAAUUGUAGUUUAAAGAAGUGUUUUCUGUUGAGGUUUUGGUAAAAGUUCUUUGGAAUAGGACAUCAUAGAGGGUGAGAAUCCCGUAUUUGACCUUUACUUUCAACUUUGUGAUACACUUUCAAAGAGUCGGAUUGUUUGGGAAUGCAGUCCAAAAUGGGUGGUAAAUUUCAUCUAAAGCUAAAUAUUGGCGAGAGACCGAUAGCGAACAAGUACCGUGAGGGAAAGAUGAAAAGAACUUUGAAAAGAGAGUUAAACAGUACGUGAAAUUGUCAAAAGGGAAGCGUUUGACACCAGUGUUGUUUUUCUGAAAAUCAAUUAAAGAACUGUUUAUGCUAAGCUGUUUAGACUUUAUCAGCUAUCUGUUUAGUUUUGAGCUUUUCUUUAAUGCACUUUUCAGUUAACAAGUCAACAUCGAUUUCUUUUGCUGUAAAAAAGCUUGAGGAAGGUGGCUUGAGAUUCGUCUUAAGUGUUUAUAGCCUCUUGCCUAUGCAGUCGGAGAGAUUGAGGUCUGCAGCGUAGAUCCUUCGGGGCUAAAUGCAUUUGUGCUAAGUUAUAGCAUUUUAUAGACAACUUGUUGACUAUGAUUUGUCUUGUAGCUUACUCGCUUAUGUUAUUUUACCUACGCUUAGGAUGUUGAAUCUGUGCGAGACUAC
rnacentral:rRNA from 1 species